rnacentral:sRNA from 1 species
CACAGACUGUGACCUCCCUGUGAAAGCAAAGUAAAAACCCGAAAAGACGCCACUCCCAGGCAGUCACUCUCAGGGUUGAAAGUGAGCCGAGUUCUUCUGGGUUCUGUAGCAUGUUGCCCAGUCCUUCUCAGGGUGCUUUUUCUUUUUGGUUGGGUCUUUUUUGUCGAAGAGUCUGCUCCGAAGUCAUCCGUGCACUGUUUGGUUUGAGCCCGUGUUCUGAAAUAUUCACACUCCCUCAGCCAACUCAGAAUCUGGAAUAGAGUUUGUUCUUAGUAUUCUACUGUCCGUAUUGAUUGGAUCAAAGAGAGAUCCAUCUGGAACCCAGUUGAAGUUCUUCCAGAUGGGGAGCUCCGAACUGCUGCGAACGUGCGUACCGAUGAAGGGAUGCAGACUUGCAAGAACUCGAGACCGUCUCUCAACACCUACUCAGCUGCACACAAAAUCUUUUUCAUGCUUUUGGGUCACCGUCUUCCUAUGUCAUCCGGGAUGCCUUGGAACUCACAGUGUGGAUCAGGCUGGUCUGGGACUCACUCACUCACUGGCUGGACUCCCGCCUCUGCCUCCUGAAUGCUGGGAUCACAGGCAUGUGUCUCCAUGCCUAGCUAUAUUUCCUUUGCUUCAUGCCUGGCUUUCUUUUUUUUUCUUCCUUUCCCCGUCUCCUAUAUUUGGGCAUGUAUGUGUAUGUGCGGGAAUGGUAAUAGGGUCCUUUUAGACUUGCUAUGAACUCCUGAUCCCUCUGCCCCAGCCUCCUGAGUGCAGGGCAUGUGCACUAUGUCCUCCUGUAUGCAUUCUCCAUCGUAUAUUUAAGAUUUAAGGCUAUUUCAAUUCUUUAGAGCUAACAGGGUUGGCUUUGGUGCUCUGGUUGCAAAAAGCCUGCCUCUUCCCUAAUUCACACAGGCUCUGCCACUAACUCCUGCCCUAUUAUUCUGAAAUUGAUGAGCCUGUACUGUAGUCAUGGAGAACAGAGCACUGGAGGGUGCUUUGAGGUCAUUUAGCCUCUGGGCAGAGCUGUUCUUAGAGCCAUUUUAGACCCACGGUGGCUGAUACUGCUAUCCUGUGUCCUUAUCAUCAUCUCUAUUAAGCAAUGCCACCCUACAUAUAUCAGGAUUUAUUUUUGCCAAGUUCUCUGACCCUCAUUGAAAUUACUCCCUCCCCGGUCCUCAUGGGGUGACCUUCUGCUAUCCGGUGAGGAAUCAGAGGCACCGUGGGGGCCGUGAUUGGCAUAAUACGGCAGCAGCUACUCAUGUAAGGUGGGAAUGGAAAUUGCUUCACGUAGCUCAUGUGAAAAAGUGCCCAGACACUCUUCCCCAUUGUAGCUGCUGGCUCCCAAGCCGUUCAGAGACAGUCGCUGCCCCUCCUCUUGCACACAAGACUUGGGAGCACAUUUCUCAGGCAUCAGAAGAUGUCUCAGUUUCCAGAAUGCUGUCCCCUCCUGCAGACAUGGAAAGCUCCGAGCAGGACAGGGAGAAAGAGAGGGGAGGAAAUGGAACGUAGGAGGAACAAAACACGGGGCGUUGCUUGUCUGAUGCCCUUGUUCCCUUGGAGUGGCAGGUGCUGUUGUUAGGCAUCCGCCUCACUGUCCACUCAGACACAGGCCGAUGCAGUAACAGGCAAUUAUUUCAGUGGACCUGUGUGCUGGCAUUAGAAAUAAUAAAGCCAAUUCUUGUGUGCUUGUUAAAUAGGCAACAUGCUGGGUACCGUCUCUUUUCAUCCUCACGUGAACUAUGGAGGUCAUAUUACUCUUUCCAAUGUGUACAGAAAGAAUUGAAAUUAAAAAGAAUGGAAGCCA